GGCCCUUUAGCAUAACAGGCGAAUGCGCAAAGAUAUAGUCAAGAAUAUAGUCGGGCUUCAUUCACCUUUGGGAAGCUGGUUCGAAUCCAGCAAAGGCCG